AAAGAAUUAGUUAAAUUAACCUUAGUAUGUCAAACUAAAAUUAUUAGUAAAAUCUAAUAUUCUUUU
rnacentral:tRNA from 1 species